rnacentral:rRNA from 1 species
UACGGGGGGGGCAAGCGUUGUUCGGAAUUACUGGGUGUAAAGGGUUCGUAGGCGGUGUAGCAAGUCGGGAGUGAAAUCUCUGGGCUUAACCCAGAGGCUGCUUCCGAAACUGCUGUGCUUGAGUGUGGGAGAGGCGCGUGGAAUUGCAGGUGUAGCGGUGAAAUGCGUAGAUAUCUGGAGGAACACCGGUGGCGAAGGCGGCAUCCUGGACCGACACUGACACUGAGGAGCGAAAGCCAGGGGAGCAAACGGG